rnacentral:rRNA from 1 species
UACGGGGGGGGCAAGCGUUGUUCGGAAUUACUGGGCGUAAAGGGUUCGUAGGUGGCUUGCUCAGUCAGACGUGAAAUCCCUCAGCUUAACUGGGGAACUGCGUCUGAUACUGGAUGGCUUGAGUUCGGGAGAGGGAUGCGGAAUUCCAGGUGUAGCGGUGAAAUGCGUAGAUAUCUGGAGGAACACCGGUGGCGAAGGCGGCAUCCUGGACCGGUAUUGACGCUGAGGCGCGAAAGCCAGGGGAGCAAACGGG